UCACUCGUGCCCCGGCUGAACUCAAAUCACCACAUCAGAGAGCGGAGUGGUCGAUCUCUCGCUAUUCUCAAUGGCUGGAUGACCAUCCAUCAGAGAAGGACCGUCUCACUCUUAUUAGGGGAGCACUGGAGGCAUAUGUGCAGUCUGUCCGAGCCAGGCAGGGGAAGGAG